rnacentral:rRNA from 1 species
GGAUGAACGCUGGCGGCGUGCUUAACACAUGCAAGUCGAACGUGAAGUCUAUACUUGUAUAGGCUGAAAGUGGCGAACGGGUGAGUAACACGUAGAUGACCUGCCCUGAGAAGGGGGAUAACUCCUUGAAAGAGGAGCUAACACCCCAGAUGUCUAGAUCGUUAGGGGGUCUAGACUAAAACCUUGGUGUCUCGGGAGGGGUCUGCGGGCUAUCAGCUAGUUGGUGGGGUAAAAGCCUACCAAGGCGAAGACGGCUAGGGGGCGUGAGAGCGCGAUCCCCCACAAGGGAACUGAGAAACGGUCCCUACUCCUACGGGAGGCAGCAGUGAGGAAUAUUGAGCAAUGGGCGCAAGCCUGACUCAGCAACGCCGCGUGGAUGAAGACGGCCUUCGGGUUGUAAAAUCCUUUUCUGCGGGACGAUGAUGACGGUACCGCAGGAACAAGUUCCGGCUAACUACGUGCCAGCAGCCGCGGUAAAACGUAGGGGACGAGCGUUAUCCGGAUUUACUGGGCGUAAAGCGCCCGUAGGCGGCCUUGUAAGUUGGCUGUGAAAGCUCCCGGCUUAACUGGGAGAGGUCAGUCAAAACUGUGAGGCUGGAGGCUGAAAUAGGCGAGCGGAAUUCCCGGUGUAGUGGUGGAAUGCGUAGAGAUCGGGAGGAACACCAGUGGCGAAAGCGGCUCGCUGGUUCAGCCCUGACGCUGAGGGGCGAAAGCGUGGGGAGCGAACGGGAUUAGAUACCCCGGUAGUCCACGCUGUAAACGAUGGAUACUAGGUGUAGGCGGUCAUUAACCCCGUCUGUGCCGCAGCCAACGCGUUAAGUAUCCCGCCUGGGGAGUACGGCCGCAAGGUUAAAACUCAAAGGAAUUGACGGGGGCCCGCACAAGCAGCGGAGCGUGUGGUUUAAUUCGAUGCGACGCGAAGAACCUUACCUGGGCUUGACAUGCAGGGUGAAGCCGGUGAAAGCCGGAGCUCUACGGAGCCUGCACAGGUGGUGCAUGGCUGUCGUCAGCUCGUGCCGUGAGGUGUUGCCUUAAGUGGCGCAACGAGCGCAACCCUUGUCCUCAGUUGCCAGCGGGUAAUGCCGGGAACUCUGAGGAGACUGCCGGUGCCAAACCGGAGGAAGGUGGGGAUGACGUCAAGUCAUCAUGCCCCUUAUGUCCAGGGCUGCACGCAUGCUACAAUGCGCGAUACAGAGGGCUGCGAUCCCGCAAGGGGGAGCGAAUCCCAAAAAGUCGCGCUCAGUUCGGAU